rnacentral:rRNA from 1 species
AGAGUUUGAUCCUGGCUCAGGAUGAACGCUGGCGGCGUGCUUAACCCAUGCAAGUCGAACGGGAUCCAUCAAGCUUGCUUGGUGGUGAGAGUGGCGAACGGGUGAGUAAUGCGUGACCGACCUGCCCCAUACACCGGAAUAGCUCCUGGAAACGGGUGGUAAUGCCGGAUGCUCCAGUUGAUCGCAUGGUCUUCUGGGAAAGCUUUCGCGGUAUGGGAUGGGGUCGCGUCCUAUCAGCUUGACGGCGGGGUAACGGCCCACCGUGGCUUCGACGGGUAGCCGGCCUGAGAGGGCGACCGGCCACAUUGGGACUGAGAUACGGCCCAGACUCCUACGGGAGGCAGCAGUGGGGAAUAUUGCACAAUGGGCGCAAGCCUGAUGCAGCGACGCCGCGUGAGGGAUGGAGGCCUUCGGGUUGUAAACCUCUUUUAUCGGGGAGCAAGCGAGAGUGAGUUUACCCGUUGAAUAAGCACCGGCUAACUACGUGCCAGCAGCCGCGGUAAUACCUAGGGUGCAAGCGUUAUCCGGAAUUAUUGGGCGUAAAGGGCUCGUAAGCGGUUCGUCGCGUCCGGUGUGAAAGUCCAUCCCUUAACGGUGGAU